UACGGGGGGGGCUAGCGUUGUUCGGAAUUACUGGGCGUAAAGGGCGCGUAGGCGGUCUGCUAAGUUGGAUGUGAAAACUCUGGGCUUAACCCAGAGCCUGCAUUCAAUACUGACAGGCUAGAGUUCUGGAGGGGAUAGCGGAAUUCCUGGUGUAGCGGUGAAAUGCGUAGAUAUCAGGAGGAACACCGGUGGCGAAGGCGGCAUCCUGGACCGACACUGACGCUGAGGCGCGAAAGCUAGGGUAGCAAACGGG
rnacentral:rRNA from 1 species